CCUACGUGUGGCUGCAGUGGGGAAUAUUGGGCAAUGGGCGCAAGCCUGACCCAGCAACGCCGCGUGAAGGAAGAAGGCUUUCGGGUUGUAAACUUCUUUUGACAGGGAAGAGAAGAAGACGGUACCCGUUGAAUAAGCCACGGCUAACUACGUGCCAGCAGCCGAGGUAAUACGUAGGUGGCAAGCGUUGUCCGGAUUUACUGGGUGUAAAGGGCGUGCAGCCGGGGAGACAAGUCAGAUGUGAAAUCCAGGGGCGCAACCCAGGAACUGCAUUUGAAACUGUUGACCUUGAGUGCUGGAGAGGCAAACGGAAUUCCUAGUGUAGCGGUGAAAUGCGUAGAUAUUAGGAGGAACACCAGUGGCGAAGGCGGAUUACUGGACGGUAACUGACGGUGAGGCGCGAAAGCGUGGGGAGCAAACAGGAUUAGAUACCCCGGUAGUC
rnacentral:rRNA from 1 species